GAUGAAGAACGCAGCGAAAUGCGAUACGUAAUGUGAAUUGCAAAUUCAGUGAAUCAUCGAGUCUUUGAACGCACAUUGCGCCCCCUGGUAUUCCGGGGGGCAUGCCUGUCCGAGCGUCAUUGCUGCCCUCAAGCACGGCUUGUGUGUUGGGCCCCGUCCUCCGAUCCCGGGGGACGGGCCCGAAAGGCAGCGGCGGCACCGCGUCCGGUCCUCGAGCGUAUGGGGCUUUGUCACCCGCUCUUUAGGCCCGGCCGGCGCUUGCCGAUCAACCCAAAUUUUUAUCCAGGUUGACCUCGGAUCAGGUAGGGAUACCCGCUGAACUUAAGCAUAUCAAUAAGCGGAGGA
rnacentral:misc_RNA from 1 species